rnacentral:lncRNA from 1 species
CUCAUUAGAGGAAAUCUUUGGUCUGCAUUGAGAUGCAGAACAUUUUAAUUACUGCAUUUGUGCUUUCCGAACAACAGAGCUUGGGCGGGUGUGAGUGGCUAUUAUAUGAGCAAGUCCCUAUAUCCUUACUGCUUUUGUGGCUCCCUCUAGCGGACAAGAUGUGAACUAACUUUGUCAAAAAAUCCAUGAUCAAUAAUCCUGGACAGCACCCAUCAAACAACUAUCCCUCUCUCUGCUUAUGUGAUUGGUUCCCUGCACCGAUUCAAACAUCCCUCAAGCAAGUGUUUCAUCCCGUCCCUUUCAAAUGAAUCUGCGGCACUAUUUUAUUUUGGGAUCGUUUAUUUCUUUUGGUUUUAUGGUUUUGUGGUGCUAAUGGUUUUUUCUGUAAAAGGUCCUUCUAGCCCGUUGACUGUUCGUUUACUUUCGUUUUCGAUUCUUUUGUCUCUGCGUAUGCCUAACACUGUCCUCUAGUUACAUGCCAUAUAAUAGCUACUCACAGCUACAAGCCUUCUCAUAAGCUAGUGGAUUCUAAACGAAGAUGGAUGACCUCGAAAUUAUUUUUAUAAACUCGCAACCUGAGACAACUAUAGAUCUGGACACCCAGGCCGAGUCCGUGGUCCUUUCGCUGAUAUUCGGAAUUAAAACGCAAGAAUAUAUAAUUCAAUGGAACGUCUUAAGUGAUAUUAUGUGGGAUGAUAGUCUCGAUGACCUAUUGACUGCCGCUCCGAUUGACGAAAUUCAAACAUUCAACUUCACGGAUGAUGACAGUAUAUUCGAUUUGGUCGAUGAUAAUGACGAAGGUAAUUAUAACGACAAAAGAUGACAAAGAUAAUGAACGAUUCGAGGAACUUCUUCGCGACAAAGAUAAUAUCGAAUUAAUAGCUGCGGUAGAAAGAGCCGAGAC